GCGUUGACUCCAAUCCAUCAAUGUGACCGACGUGCAAGGCGUCCUCAUUCAGGCGGUGAAACAACUCUUUUCACGCACGAACCAGCCACUAUAUUCGCCGAACGGCACGGCAUGGUAUCUGCAUGUGGACAAUUCCGGCAACCUCACCACCUCGACGAACCAAUGAAAAAAUUGACUUUUAUCAGAUUUUUUGGUAUAGAAAAGAUAAUGAAACUGUUACCCAUUCUGAUUCUGUUGUCUUGGUUUGUGGCAAGGGCAUCAUCUGUUACCGGAACAUUGAUUGAUUCGUUCGGAAACGCUUAUGGGGCAACGGCUAUUCAAUACACUCCACAAUCGUACUAUCAGGAUAACGGUUCUGCCACAGUAGUUCCUCCAACGGUAAUGCAAUCCGUUACCAAUGGGAUGUUGGUUGGAACAAACUUUGCCAAUGUUAAUGCUUAUUAUACAGCAAAAAUUUUACCGCAGAAUCUUAAUAUCCCGGUAAAAAUGGUUUUUGUUCCAAGCGGUUCAAACUCAUAUACUUUUAGUCAGAUAUUGAGUUUAGCUACCAAUCUUUACUUCGUUUUCUAAUUCCAUUCCUGUGUUUCAAG
rnacentral:rRNA from 1 species